ensembl:lncRNA novel transcript
AGUGCCUGUCGGUGUGCUUUCCUGCCAGUGUGCUCCUCUGGAAGCCCUCUGACUACCAGCCGCUUGUCUCUUCUUCCGCAGUUGAGAAAUAGACGGUCCACAGCGGACAACUUAGAAUGGAAUAAGGGAGAUGUGUUUGAGGCACUACCAUUGGAAGAUGUGCUGGGGAGAAGCCCAGCCCAGCAACAUGCGGCAGGACCACAUCUCGGCAGAGGACAUGGUGAGAAGACAGCCAUCUGCAAGCCAGAAAGAGCGCUAACCAGAACGCAACCAUGUGGAUACCCCGAUCUCAUAGUCCCAGCCUCCAAAACUGUGGGCCUCUCCCAGAUGGCAACUUGUUUAUCAAAGCAUGAAAACCAAGAAGGUGAUAAAGAAAGUCUGCUAGCAAGACAUAAGUCACAAUCUUUUGUAAUCUAUUUAUGAAAGUGACAUCCCAUCAUCUUGACCACAAUCUAUUGAUUAGAAACAAGUACAGCUCACCCUCAACAAGAGGAGAUAAUAUCCAGGUGUGAAUUGCACAAGACUAAUCCAGUGGAAAAACUAUAUUCGACCCAAGGAUCUGUAUCCACACAGUUUGACAAUAAUUUACUUCUUUCUGGAAGCGAUGAGCACAGUGUAAUUCCUGAGAAAUUUUAAUAAUGAUAUUUUAAUUAUAAUUAAGUGAAACCUAGCAAAGUUGGCUGUAUCUGGAGGAACUCCACUGUGGGAAACAGAUUCUUAAGCCAAACUCAACGUGUGACUUCCAUUAGAUGGCUGAAGAUGGCUGUUUCGCUGCAUCAAUGUGUGACUUUCAAUAGAUGAUCGAAGAUGGCUGUUUGGCACUGUGUCUGAAUUAAGCCAGAAGGAAGGAGGAAGAAGAUGAAGAAAAGGCAUGCCUCUACCCCUUAGGACCACGUCUCUGAAGCUGUAUACAACAUUUCUGCUCUCAUAUAAUUGGGCAGAACUUAGUCAUAGAGCUACAUGUAGUUGCAAGGGAAGCUAUAUGCACUAAUGUGCUUAGUUAAACAUUGGGAUUCUCUUACUAAGGUACAUAAGGAGAACAUAUAUUUGGAGAGGCAACUAUCCAUCUCUGCCACAAGAUCUGAAACAAUUAUUGUGAGACUAUAAACAUAGAAAAAAGCUCCAGAGAUCAGGGGGAAGUCAGAAAUUAUUUGGGAUUCCAGUGAAUGGAAUGUUGACCAUAAAUGAGAAAUGAUGCUUGGGAUAAUUCCUAGCGAGCAUUGGCUUUUAGAGUUGGGAUUGAAGUCAACCAGCUAUAAAGAGCAAGACUGGGUGGGGUACUUUGAAAUGUCAUAUCAUUGUGUAUGGCUUUUGUGGUAGUUACUGCUUCUUUUUAGAAUAAUUCUCAUAACUAGGUAGAAAGCUCACCUUUGAAACUUCUGCAUGCCUAAUAAAAUGCUUCACUCACACCCAGUUGUUUUACUCAAGCGAGUAGUUUUAUGGUAACUGCAUUUGGGGUAACAGUCUUACAGAAGAGUUAACACAAUGGGCAGAUUCCAGGUGUGCUGUCAUUUGGAGGAGGCAAAUCCAUACAGACAAGAAGUAGAUUAGUGGUUGCCUAGAGCUGGAGGAGGGUAGGGAUAAGGAAUGGAUUACUACUGGGACUGGGUUUCUUUUUGGGGUGAUGAAAAUUUUCUAAAAUUGAUUGUGGUGAUGGUUGCCUAACUCUGUGAAUAGCAAUGAAUUGUGCUAUUGUACACUUUAGGUAAAUGGUAUGGUAUA